GAAAUCCACACGUCGAACUAAAAGUUUCACUAUUAGAAAACAUCAAUCCCUCCACUCGUACGGGACAUCAUUCAUUCCAUCUGUGGACAUUCCCAGAAAGGACGGGAAGGUCUGAGACAGCAAAACAGUAGUAGGGGGGGCCUUGGCACAGGCCCGUGGCACUGACUCCCCUGCUCUCAAUGCACCCACCUUCCACAGAGCUGUGGUCCAGCAUAUACCAGCCUGAGGGGGCCUGGCAAGCAGGGGUGGCCCCUGGGUAUAGUCAUCCUCACCUGCGAUACCUUAAAGGCCGGGAGGACAAAGAAGGUAAGGAGACUGCAAACCCAGGGUGAUUUUCUGGCCUGGCUUCUUGCCGCUGGCCCCUCCUGGACUUCCCUCCUCCCAGGACACAUAGUCCAAGUGAGCCAGUACAUGGGGUAAGCACAGGGCCCAGCCAGCACUGUGUGGCCUGUGUCCAGGGCUCUGAGAAGGAGAGAAUACACCACAUUGGGAAGAGAAACUACUGGAACAAAGCCCCUGCUCUUUACCCUGACAUACGAGGGACUGUGGGUGGUGGCCAGGCAGCCUCAGCUCCUGCCUGGGGCUCCUUCACAUUCUGUGUCCCAGCUUGCUCCAAGAGCUCCUGUUCCCUGAGACCACUGGGCCUUGGGAGGUGGUGCUCACUCCAUCAGGGAGACCUCUGACUUCUCCUGCCUCCUGACCUUCUCCUGCUUUCUCUUUUAAACCAGCUGCAACGGUACCUGCUCCGCAGGGGCCACCCUGUAUCCACAGACACAGAGUGUCCCUCCCCCAUGCUUCCCGGGCACAUACCUCUCUUAAGCCCUUUAAAUAUGGCGCUGGGUAAAUGUUUCCCUCAAGCCUGCUUCAUGCACUGGGGUCAGCUCAUCAAGAAGCUGGUCAUGUGGGAGAUCACUGGCCAUCAGUGAGUGCAGGAUGGAUUGUAAGCCCUAGCUUUUGCAGAGAGAGCUCUACGCCUGCUGAGGAGCUCAAGAUUUGUUCCUUCUAGGUAGACCAAACUGUGAGGGUUUUGGUGACACAUUGUAGGAUCUCCGAAGCCCAAGAUUCCCUGGUUUUGUUUUUUUGAUGAGUGGGUGUGGGAGCUGGAGUCUGGGUAAUGGCCACAGCUUUUCAAGUGGAAAACAAUGUUUAUCUGAAGCAAAGCAUUGCAAAGUGGAAGGUUUAAGAUUGUGCACAUUCCCAGAAAAACACAUUUGUGUUGCUCCUGUUGGUCAAGAAGAGUAUCUCUGCAAGGAAGGAGCAGGGAGCCAGAGAGCCCAGACCAGCUCUUCCUCCUGCCCUUGCUGAACAAGCCCAUCACCCACCUCCCAGCUUCUCUCAGAUCCAUACAAAUGUCCAGCCCCCAGGAACCACUUCCUGAGAAUUCCUCAGCACCUUGGUUGAAAAUCCACUGGUGGACAUGUUUGGCUGAACUUUUCUGCUCUUUUUAUUGAUCUAUUUUCUAGAUACUGUACUGAUUACUAGAGUUUAACCAUAAGUCUUAAAACAAGUGAUACGAGUCCUUUGAUUGUGUUCUUUCUUUUCAAAUGGCCUUGUUGGCUAUUCCAGGACCUUUAAUUUCCAUAUAAAUUUUAGAAUCAGCUUAUCAAUUUUUUUAAAAAGCUUGCUGGAUUUUGAUUGAGAUGCCAUUGGAAUCAUUGAUAAAUUUGAGGAAAAUUGAUCUUUUAACAAUAGUAAGUCUUCCACUCCAUGAGUAUGGUUUAUCUUUCUAUUUCUUUAUCUUUUUAAAUGUCUCUCAACAGUAUUUUCAU
rnacentral:lncRNA from 1 species